GACCUGACGGAGCAACGCCGCGUGAGUGAUGAAGGUCUUCGGAUCGUAAAGCUCUGUUGUAAGAGAAGAACGAGUGUGAGAGUGGAAAGUUCACACUGUGACGGUAUCUUACCAGAAAGGGACGGCUAACUACGUGCCAGCAGCCGCGGU
rnacentral:rRNA from 1 species